rnacentral:rRNA from 1 species
GACGAACGCUGGCGGCGUGCUUAACACAUGCAAGUCGAACGGAAAGGCCCUGCUUGCAGGGUACUCGAGUGGCGAACGGGUGAGUAACACGUGGGUGAUCUGCCCUGCACUUCGGGAUAAGCUUGGGAAACUGGGUCUAAUACCGGAUAGGAGCCAUCUUUAGUGUGGUGGUUGGAAAGUUUUUUCGGUGUAGGAUGAGCUCGCGGCCUAUCAGCUUGUUGGUGGGGUAAUGGCCUACCAAGGCGGCGACGGGUAGCCGGCCUGAGAGGGUGUACGGCCACACUGGGACUGAGAUACGGGCCAGACUCCUGCGGGGGGCAGCAGUGGGGAAUAUUGCACAAUGGGCGCAAGCCUGAUGCAGCGACGCCGCGUGGGGGAUGAAGGCCUUCGGGUUGUAAACUCCUUUCGCUAGGGACGAAGCUUUUUUGUGACGGUACCUAGAUAAGAAGCACCGGCUAACUACGUG